CAUAGUCCAGCUAGCUCGCAACCAAAGUUGUGGAAUUAGCCAUAACGGGAAACUGAUUAGCUGCGACUUAGCUAGCACAGCUAGCACUAGCUGCAUCCCACGGACCCCCAUCUGUCCAGCCGCGCUCGAUUUAUCGCGCUAGUCAGCCGUGAGCCAUUGUUAGGUAGCUUGUCAUUGACAACUGACAAGGAAGCUGAGACUUGGUCAUAGGUGGAUCUUACAGCUGGACAAUUACUCCGAACAUACAUCAUAUCCACACAGAAAUGGUUCAGUGAAAACAAUGUCAAUGGAAACCUCAGUCUCGAGUCUUACAUCCCAUCAAUAAUCUGUGGUCUUUACGGAAGAGGGCAAUGCAUAAUCGCAAGCCCAAGGAUAUCAAAGAUCUUGAAAAGUUUUGUAUGUCCCUCCAACUGUGUUCUCUAACCUGAUCACAAAUGAUAGGAAAAGACUCACAGUUAUCAUCAUUGCCAGAAGUGAUUGCACAAAGUAUUGAAACCAGGAGUGCCAAUAAUUGUGAAACCCGUUUUUUGGAGAAAACAUUUUUUAUUUGAAAAUGUAAGACUUGGUUGAUUCCAUUCCAUUAAUAAAGUACACUAAUUUGCCACUACUAUGUUGGAAAAUAAAGUUUAUGUCCAUUUUAUUUUUUAGUUACAGUGACAGUAUCUUUUGUGCAUAUUUAUCAAAGGUGCCAAUAAUUAUAGACCUGACUCGACUGGUUAUGAAGCAAUACAAAGUUAGCUCAAAAUGUAGCCAACAGUUAAAUACAGUUGACAUAAGUUUAUAUA